rnacentral:lncRNA from 1 species
ACUCUAAAACCUGUAUUCUUCGUGUUAGAUCAUGUAGUACUGGUGAAUAUUGUGUUAUUAAACUUGAUACAUGUUAUUCUCUUAAAGCUAUUGUUUUCUUUGUAGAAUGUUCCAGAACAACACUUAACAAAACGAAGAACUAUUUCUCAGCAACCAACAAGGACUGUUUCUCAACAAGCAAUCUUCUCAACAAGGAAGAAUCGUAAGCUAUCUGAAGACUGCCUAUUCUUGUGUUAUUCACUGACAGUUAAUUACACAUUUUUUAUAUACUCUUUGCUUUAACUAUAGUGAAAACGACAUAUGGUACUGUGAGAACAGGAAAUAUAACUUUGCUUGAGGGCAGUGGUUCUGACAGCGAAAAUGAAGAUGGGGUUAAAAUCCAUCCUGAAAUCAUCAGUGGUCAGCCUCAUCGACCUACACACCCUGGUCUGAAACCUUCCCUCAAUCCUAUAGUGAACCCUGGUGUUACAAAGGAGGAAGCAACAAAACCAUCAACUGGAAAAAACAAAAAUGAUAAGUCAUCAUCAGGAUCAGAAGAGGAAGAUAUGGGAUCAUCCUGUAGUUCUAAG